rnacentral:rRNA from 1 species
GAUCCUGCUCAGGAUGAACGCUGGCGGCGUGCCUAAUACAUGCAAGUCGAACGCUUUGUAAAGGAGCUUGCUUCUUUACGAGGAGUGGCGAACGGGUGAGUAAUACAUAAGCAAUCUGCCCAUCGGCCUGGGAUAACAGUUGGAAACGACCGCUAAUACCGGAUAGGUUAGUCUUUGGCAUCAGGGACUAAUUAAAGUUGGGAUACAACACAGAUGGAUGAGCUUAUGGCGUAUUAG